rnacentral:rRNA from 1 species
UACGAAGGGGGCUAGCGUUGCUCGGAAUCACUGGGCGUAAAGCGCACGUAGGCGGACUCUUAAGUCGGUGGUGAAAUCCUGGAGCUCAACUCCAGAACUGCCUUCGAUACUGAGAGUCUCGAGUCCGAGAGAGGUGAGUGGAACUGCGAGUGUAGAGGUGAAAUUCGUAGAUAUUCGCAAGAACACCCGUGGCGAAGGCGGCUCUCUGGGACGGUACUGACGCUGAGACGCGAAAGCGUGGGGAGCGAACAGG